UACGGAGGAUGCGAGCGUUAUCCGGAUUUAUUGGGUUUAAAGGGUACGUAGGCGGAUCGUUAAGUCAGUGGUCAAAUUGAGGGGCUCAACCCCUUCCCGCCAUUGAAACUGGCGAUCUUGAGUGGAAGAGAAGUAUGCGGAAUGCGUGGUGUAGCGGUGAAAUGCAUAGAUAUCACGCAGAACCCCGAUUGCGAAGGCAGCAUGCCGGCUUCCUACUGACGCUGAAGCACGAAAGCGUGGGGAUCGAACAGG
rnacentral:rRNA from 1 species